GGCGGCGUAGCUUAAUACAUGCAAGUCAACUUGACUUUAGAUAGCAAUAUCGAAAGUAGGGUGGCGCACGGGUGCGUAACGCGUAGGUAAUCCUGCCCUGAGGUCUGACAUAACCCGUCGAAAGGCGGGCUAACAUCAGAUGAUAUAUAAUCACGACAUCGUGGAAAAUAUCAAAUCUUCGGAGCCUUGGGAUGAGCCUGCGUCUGAUUAGGUAGUUGGCGGAGUAAUAGCCCACCAAGCCUACGAUCAGUAGCUGGUCUGAGAGGAUGAUCAGCCACACUGGAACUGAGACACGGUCCAGACUCCUACGGGAGGCAGCAGUAAGGAAUAUUGCUCAAUGGGGGAAACCCUGAAGCAGCAACGCCGCGUGAAGGAUGAAAUACUUUUGUAUGUAAACUUCUGUAAGAUGGGAAAAAUAUUCUCCUCGGGAGAAUUGAUUGUACCAUCAGAGUAAGCCCCGGCUAACUACGUG
rnacentral:rRNA from 1 species